GAUGAACGCUGGCGGCGUGCCUAAUACAUGCAAGUCGAGCGAACGGACGAGAAGCUUGCUUCUCUGAUGUUAGCGGCGGACGGGUGAGUAACACGUGGAUAACCUACCUAUAAGACUGGGAUAACUUCGGGAAACCGGAGCUAAUACCGGAUAAUAUUUUGAACCGCAUGGUUCAAAAGUGAAAGACGGUCUUGCUGUCACUUAUAGAUGGAUCCGCGCUGCAUUAGCUAGUUGGUAAGGUAACGGCUUACCAAGGCAACGAUGCAUAGCCGACCUGAGAGGGUGUUCUGCCACACUGGAACUGAGACACGGUCCAGACUCCUACGGGAGGCAGCAGUAGGGAAUCUUCCGCAAUGGGCGAAAGCGUGACGGAGCAACGCCGCGUGAGUGAUGAAGGUCUUCGGAUCGUAAAACUCUGUUAUUAGGGAAGAACAUAUGUGUAAGUAACUGUGCACAUCUUGACGGUACCUAAUCAGAAAGCCACGGCUAACUACGUG
rnacentral:rRNA from 1 species